rnacentral:lncRNA from 1 species
CCCCGGCCACGCCCUCACGGUUUUGUUUCUGGGAACUCACAUGAGAACUUCGCAGUGGAUCACUCAUCCUGGGAAUGCUCUUGCCAAACUCGCUUAACUUCGAAGUUAUGAUGGAACCCGAAACCAAUGAGUUCCCAAAAGGCCUCGUGCUAUAUGGAGGUGGGCAUGUACAUAUAAGGCACAUCACCCCCUUUUCGUUGGUCGAUGUGGGAUGUUACAGAACGGCUUUGGUAACAAAUAGCAUAUUCAUGAUGAAUCGUCUAUUUAUUUUAUGCAUAUGAAUGACUAAAAGAUCUCUAAAAUUGAAUAAUUUUUUUACAUAUAUAAUCUUUAGAUUAUGAUAAAAAGAAUGAACGAUCCGAUUAUGACUUUCAAACAGUAAAAAAAUUCAUUAAUCGUAAGUCGUGAGACAAGUCCUUAAUUUAAUAGUUUGGGUUUGCAACUAAAGAAUUCCAAGAAAUGUAACGAUAAAACUAAGCCACUUCAAACCCAAUGUAUAUUAUACAUUAAUGUAUAGUCAAUAGACUCCUCUAUGAGUAGAGUUAGUGAUACUUAUUUUCGAAUUCGGAUCCUCUUUGUGAGGAUUGCGGGAUUCUUGAAUCAUAUCCGUUUAUCAUAUAUUAUGUGUUCAGAAAUUAUUUUAAAUAUUUUUAUUUAAAAUUAAAUACAUAUAUUAUCUGACAAAAACUGACCACACGAAUGACGAUGAAUGAACACAAUUUACAAAUCCUCAGGAUCCUCACUAUAAGGCCAUCGCCAACCGAUCCAGCCAGAUGGUCAUAUGGCUAAAAAUAGCCCAAAAUGACACGAAAAUUGUCUUCAACCAAGGGAUAGGCCAAAGGGCUUGUGGGCCCUACCAUGCCAAAACCAUCCAAUCAGGCUAACCGGCUAGCCAUCUCCAGCCAGCCCGAUGAGCCCAACUUUUUUUUUUUAAUGAAUUUUUUUUAUUUUUAAAAUUUCUAAUUUUUUUUCUAGACCAUUUCUCACAUACUUUUUACCAUUCCAUACUAUCUUACCUCAUUUUAUUUCAAUUCUUCACAUUCUAUUCUCUUCCAAUAAUCUUUCCUUUAAUUUUUUCAAUAAUUUUCAAAUGGCCACCUUUUUCAAUACUCCAAUAUGUCCGAAAAUCUUAUUUUAAUAUAGUAGUUUAAUUUAAUUAACUAUAUUAAUUCAAUUAAAAUAAUAAAUUAUAUUUGACCUAUGGCCUUUUGGUCCCUCGGUUGGAGAUAGUCUUUUGUUACAGGGCUAUGUUUGGCCUAUGAUCUUUUGGCCUCUUCGGUUAGAAAUGAUAUGAAAUAUGGUAUGAUAUUGUUCAUUAAAAUAUAAUUUAUUAAAGGGUUAUAGGGCUAAAAAGAAUUCUAUAACCAUCAUUCGGUUGGAGAUGGCCUAAGAAUUCGAAGAGGAGCGUGUUGGCUUAUUUUCAUUUAGUCGGAAGAGGUAGAAGGCUCAACUUGCUGGGAUGUCGAUGACGAUAUAUUCGUGAAGUUGAUACCUAGUUAGCUAUGCCUUGACAUUGUAAUGUGACAUUGUCUUUUGUUUUUGUUUCUUUUUUCCUUCUAGACACAAAAUUUGAAAGAGCUUUCAUGGUGGUGGCGUAUGCGUGUGGCUUGUUCGUUGCAAAUCUAUAAGAGCAAUUUCAUCGUUGUUUAUUGCUUUAGGGAUAUGCAACCCAAUAUUCCUUCUUCUUCUUUCAAGACACUCCAGCUCACUCGGGCAAUUGGCCCCAAGGCGAGCCCAAUGGAGAAGUGGCAAUAUCACGUAGCCCAGUGCCCUGCCUAUGUGAUGUAAGGCUGACGUAAAAAACUAAUUAAAAAUAUAAAAAAUUAUAAUUUUGUCUUCUCUAAAUACAUAACCAUGUUCUUCUACUUUACACUAUAUUUUAAUAUUUUCGAAUACUUUCAACUAACUUUUUAUUAUUAUCUGAAAAUAAAAAUAAAGUUAUCUUUUAUUAUUCUAUAAAAUAAAAUAAAUACUAAUAUUUUAUUACUAAUUGCCUGGGCUAUGCACUUUAGCAGUUACUAUUUUUUGCAGACAGUUAUUGUGUUCAUUUAAGGGGAUUGAGUUGCUUAUUGCCCAGUGAAACUUCGUACACUGGAAGUGCACUAUACACAUUCUUUCUCCCAUUUUUUAUUUCUUGACAUUAUCUAUCCCCGGUCAUCUGCAUUAUAGUUGUAUUCUACAAGAGAUCGGACUCGGCCUUUUCUUAUUGUUCUAAGUUUUAGUUUUAAUUUAUUAUUAUUGUAACACCGUUAUUAGGGGCCCCUAAUGUAGAUGAAUAGGUGGUAUAGUAAUACUAAUUAAUCAAUAACAAUAGUAAAAACAAGAAGGUUUCUUACCAUGAGGAGUUUAUGCUGAUGAUGAUUUACUAUAGUGAUUAAGAAAAAUUAUGUCUAUAUACUCUGAUCCGGGUUCGAUUCCCACCGAUUUUCUUCCCCUCUAAGUCAAAAACAAUUUAACCCAUUAACGAUCCCGUUUGUAAAAAAAACCUAUGGGGAGUCUGCUAUAAGACAGUCGAUCAGCUCCCUAUUCCUAUGGUUAUAAAGCAAUGAAAAAGCCUUGAUUCAUGCACUCAAAAUAUUAAAUUUGACAUUGUUCCCACUCCCAUCAUCAAUAUGAAUUUCUCGUCGAUCAAUUUCGAAAAAUAUGCAAAACUAAAACAUGUAAAAAUUUCUCGUCGAUUAAUUGCAAUGUGUUUGUGAUCUUGUCUAAUAUAUUUUCUUUGGAAGAAAGUCAAAGGUUAAGUUGGCUUGACCUUGACAACAUUGAGCUGUUGCCGGCUGAUUUAAUUAGCUUUGCUUGAAAUAUAAAAGAAGUAACCAAUAAUCCUUUUGCAGAAUAAUCAUAUCCUUUAUCAAUUGAAAUAUUCAUAUUUCAAACAGAUCAUUCGAUUGGAAAAGAAAUGUCACCCGAGGGGGUUUUCUUUAUUUAUUUUUCUUUAAUCUUCUUUUGAUGGGCAUUUUUUCUUCAAUCUUAAUUUUUAUAGAUUCCUUAUUUUAACGAACAAAUGAUGUGUAGCCAUGUGAACCGCUUCCUUAGAAGAAGAACAUGCUGCAAAGUGCCAAGC